rnacentral:rRNA from 1 species
AAUCAACGCUGGCGGCGUGCCUCAGACAUGCAAGUCGAACGCGAAAGUUCCCUUCGGGGAAUAAGUAGAGUGGCGCACGGGUGAGUAACACGUAGGUAAUCUACCUUCGGGUGGGGAAUAACCCAGGGAAACUUGGGCUAACACCGCAUGAUGCAGCGGCACCACAUGGUGACAGUUGUUAAAGCGGGGGAUUUUCGGACCUCGCGCCUGAAGAGGAGCCUGCGGCGGAUUAGCUAGNGGUGAGGUAACGGCUCACCAAGGUCACGAUCCGUAGCCGGCCUGAGAGGGCGGUCGGCCACACUGACACUGACAUACGGGUCAGACUCCUACGGGAGGCAGCAGUCGGGAAUUUUGGGCAAUGGGCGAAAGCCUGACCCAGCAACGCCGCGUGAAGGAUGAAAUCCCUCGGGAUGUAAACUUCGCAAAGAAUGGGAAGAAUGAACGAGCGCUAAUACCGUUCGUGAUGACGGUACCAUUUGUAAGCUCCGGCUAACU